GAUGAACGCUGGCGGCGUGCUUAACACAUGCAAGUCGAACGAAGCACUUAAGAUUGAUUCUUCGGAUGAAGUCUUUUGUGACUGAGUGGCGGACGGGUGAGUAACGCGUGGGUAACCUGCCUCAUACAGGGGGAUAACAGUUAGAAAUGACUGCUAAUACCGCAUAAGCGCACAGGACCGCAUGGUCUGGUGUGAAAAACUCCGGUGGUAUGAGAUGGACCCGCGUCUGAUUAGCUAGUUGGUGAGGUAACGGCCCACCAAGGCGACGAUCGGUAGCCGGACUGAGAGGUUGAACGGCCACAUUGGGACUGAGACACGGCCCAG
rnacentral:rRNA from 1 species